GAUCCUGGUGAUGUUGGUGUAAGUUGGGGGGAGGAGAGACAUGAUCUCACCUCGGCUAGGAGCUAUUGAGGAACCGGUGAGAAGACCGAGAAGCCACCAGACUCGGCUGACCCUCCCGCCUACGACCAGACAGCCAGCUCCCGGCCGCCCCCUGGCUCCUCAGCUCGCACUACCUGCCCCAGGUGUCGUGCCCGUCACAGCCACCAGAUUCCAGAUGCUACCAUGAUGCCAACUGGACUCAUCAGGGCAGACGACCCCACCAUGUGUCCUGGAGCCCCACUUCCCCAGAUCCCUGCCCCACUAGGGAAAGAGAGAGAUAGGCUGGGAGUAUGGAUCAAACCUGCCAAUGGCCAUGUUCAGCAGAGAAGCAAUUACAGAAGCCAGACCUUCCACCUCCUGCACCCCAUAAUGACCCUGGGUCCAUGCUCCCAGAGGGUUAAAGAAAAGGAAAGCUAUCAGGGGAAGGGAUGGGAUAUGGAGUUCCGGUGGGGGGAAUUGUGUGGAAUUGUACCCCUCUUAUCCUAUGGCCUUGUCAGUGUUUCCAUUUUAUAAAUAAAAACUUUAAUAUAUAUAUAUAAUUGGGGCCAGGUGGUGGCACACCUGGUUGAGCACACAUGUUACAAUGCUCAGGACCUGGGUUCAAGUCCCCAGUCCCCACCCGCAGGGGGAAAUCUUCACAAGUGGUGAAUCAGUGUUGCAGGUGUCUCUCUGCCUCUCUAUUUCCCCAUUUGCCUCAGUUUCACUCUGUUUUUAUCCAAUAAACUAAUAAAGAUAAUAGGAAAAAUUACUUUUUAAAUUUAAUUAAUUUAGAUUAAGAGGGAAGGGGAGCUAAAGAUGGAGAAGGAGAGGUAGAGGGAGAGGGAGACCUGUGGCACUGCUUCACUGCUAGUAGAGCUUCCCUCCUUUAGGUAGGGACUAGGGGCUUGAACCUGGGUCCCUGAGCACUGUAAUAUGUGCAGCUCAACCAGGUGUGCUACCACCCAGCCCUAAGAAGUAGAUUAUUUAUCCUGUAUCACCUCCUGGGUUGCUCAGAAGCCAUUUUUCAGUCUAAUACAGGUACAAAAAAUUUUCCAGGUUUGGGCCUUUCCUGCCUGUGAGACUCAUCAGGUUUAAGUAUCCUUCUUCAAAUAACUUCUAUAGCUUAUAUUUUUUUGUCUUCCAGUCAAAACUCUAAUAUGGAUAAAAUGUCGUGGGAAGAAAAGGGCCAGGUUGCCUAGAUUAGUAAAAAGAGGUCUCUUCCUAUGAGCAAGAUAGGCAUAUUCAUCACUUUUCUCUUAGUGACUUGGUGAAAAUAUGUAUUUUGUACAUUGUCACAGAAAAAAAUUAAAAUAUGGUUUAUAGUU